rnacentral:rRNA from 1 species
CAGCUGUAAACGAUGCAGGCUAGGUGUUUGGACGGCCACGUGCCGUUCUAGUGCCGCAGGGAAGCUGUUAAGCCUGCCGCCUGGGGAGUACGAUCGCAAGAUUGAAACUUAAAGGAAUUGGCGGGGGAGCACCACAAGGGUGAAGCUUGCGGUUUAAUUGGAGUCAACGCCGGAAAUCUCACCAGCAGCGACUGUUACAUGAAAGUCAGGCCGAUGACCUUACUAGAUUUUCAGAGAGGAGGUGCAUGGCGUCAGUGACU